AUUCCAGCUCCAAUAGCGUAUAUUAAAGUUGUUGCGGUUAAAAAGCUCGUAGUUGGAUUUCUGUCGGUGAAUAUCAGUCCGCCCACAGCGGUAGGUACGUGAUAUUUCACCGGCAUCUUCCUGGGGAAUGUGUCUGCUCUUUAUUGAGUGGUACAUAAGCCAGGACUUUUACUUUGAAGAAAUGAGAGUGUUUCAAGCAGGCAUGCGCCGUGAAUACGUUAGCAUGGGAUAAUAGCAUCGGACCUCGUUCCAAAGCUGUUGGUUUCUUGGACCGAGGUAAAGGUGAAUAGGGAUUGUUGGGGGCAUUCGUAUUUGACUGUCAGAGGUGAAAUUCUUGGAUUUGUUGAAGACGGACUACUGCGAAAGCAUCUGCCAAAGAUGUUCUCAUCA
rnacentral:rRNA from 1 species